rnacentral:lncRNA from 1 species
ACUCUCAAAUCUAACACAACAAUAUAUAUAUAUAUAUAUAAAAUCAUUUGCCUAGUAAACGAAGAGGCUCAAAAUCAACGGUUGAAAAUAAAAAUCUUACAAAAUAUAAUAAUAUAACAUUAAAAUUUUAAAUCAAAGAUAUUGAUUUUGUUUUAUAUAGUAUAAAAAAUUUUCUAUCAAAAUUUCAUGUAAUUUGGAUAUUUCUACACUGUUAAACUUGAAAACGGCUCACUAUGGCCAUUGAAAUUCGUUGAUUUUGAGCCUAUUCGAUCACUAGGCAAAUGAUAUCGAAAAAUAAUAAAAUUUAUUUUCUAGAUACUCCAAAUA